CAUGUACUGGAUAUCGUACUAUCGAUGUUGUUGGUUGUUGGCAGGGCAGUAUCAUAAAUUUUGUUGGCAUGUAGGGUCUAAAGAGAAGCUCUGGCAUACAGGAAAUAUAUUGAUGCAUGGAAUGUACGUAGCAAGUAAAAUGUGUUCCUCUAAACUAAAGGGAAUUUUGUAACACCCAAAAUUUGAUUUUCAAAUAAUAGGAUUUAAUUUGAUUUAUUUGAAUAUUUUGUGAGCAUUUAAAUUAGUAAAGAAAUAAAUUUUAUUGAAAUUAAAAUUCAACAUAGAGAUAGAAACUUGUUUGUGCAUUCAUUCUGAAGCAUAUUUUAUUUUGUGUUGUUUGCUUUUGGUUUGAAUUCUAUUUGAUUCAAAUCCUAUCUGAAAUAUUGGUUUGGAAAAGCUUUUGAAAAAAAAUAAUAAAAAAAAACCACUCCCUGGAACCAGGCCGAGGCCUGGCUAUCCCUCCCCGCUCUCAGCCCAGUACGGCCCCAGCAGCGCGCCUCCCCCUCUCUCAGUCUCUGGCAACCGGGCCCCGCCCUUUCUCCCUCCGACAGCAUGCUCCCACUCGUCAGCGACCCGACCCCCGCCUUCCUUCUUCUUCCCCAAAUCGUGACCAAGCCGGUCUCUGGACCGAACAAAUCCGCCACCGAACGAGUACGCGAUCUUCCCUGUUCUUCGCGAAAUUUGUUGCCUUAAAUCAACUACCGAGUCCCUAUAAAGGACCUAGACCCCCUCUGCAUCGCCUUUUUGCCCUAGUUUCUAAGCUUGCUGCAUUUGCGAUCUCGCCGUCGAGCUCUACAGAACCGCCGCCGUGGAAACCGCAACUAGCAGCCGUUCUAGCGGAAUCGAGACCUUGCCGAGUUUCGCGUCGCUUCUGCGAGGUCGCCAAGCCCUCUCCUUCUUUCUCUCGUGCCUUGGUUUGCUCCCUAACCUUCGCCGAACGUGCAGGAACGCCGCCGUGCGCCAUCUUCCGUCGUCCGUUGUCUUCAGCCGUUCCCCGAGCCUCUAUAAUCGCCUAGGUGAGCUCGCCAACUCCCCCUCUGUCUCCCCAUGCUACCGGUUUAGCGAAUAGUGGUCCUUAGCGCGUCUUCUAUGAACUCUGGCGAGCUCGUGAUGCCAACAAUGGCGCGCCGCCGUGGGAAACUCGUCGCCGGCCGUGUGCCCCUCCCUGGUUUGUCCUGAGCCGUCGAAUCAAGAUUGAACGGCUCAGAUUAGAACAUACCCCUUCGUGGGGAUUUUUCUUAAAGAGCCCCUACGUUUUUUAAGUAUAAACCCGCAGUCCAUGGCGUAAAGCCUGGAAUACGUCUUCUCGAUUCUGAAAACAGUUCAAAUUACGCUUUCCAGUAUUUACAGUUUUGCCAUUGAGAUUGUUUUAACCAUAAAAUACUCGUUUUAAUUCCGUUUUGGCCCGUUUAAAUUGCGUUGGAUUCGUAUUUGAAAGACCUACAUGUUAGUAAUACUGUUUUCUCAGUUUGAAACCUUUUAAUUUCGUGACCCUAUUUGAUUAAUCAUUUUUCUAAACAAAAUCUUAGAAAAUUCGUAACUCCUUCGUUUUAAUUCCGAUUUUCACGAUCUUUACGUCCAUGAAAUCGUAGCGAUGCGUAGAAUCAUUUUAUAAACUUCUCAUACUGUUUUUAUAUGAUUGGUGUACUGUUCUAAUUAUAGCCUUGUUUGCUUCGUGUAUGUUUUCUCCGGUUGUUUGUGUGUUGAUGAUCGAUGAUCGAGUUUAGUCGGAAAGCAGUUUUUGGUGAUCAAGAUCAGAGCCUUGGACAAGUGAGACCAGCAGGACCAAAAGGAUAAGCAAGAGCAAUUGGAUUAAGGCAAGUAUAGCAUUUGGGUUUUAUUUCUGUGACCAUGAUCCUGUGACCAGAUUAAUGUUAAGUAAUAAAUGAUAAAAAUGACUUUUUAGCAACUUGAUGAUUUAUCUGUACGUGAUCACCCAGGACAACUGUGCAACCAUGAGGGCUAUAAUGGCUCUGGCUUUAGUUAAGUAUGAGUAACUUUUCUAGCUCGUUAGCGGUUACCCGUUGUGGCGCAAUUGGGGAAUAGCAUACCGUGGAUUCCUGCGGGUGAAUCACAAGGACUGACUAAUGAAACCAAGCGGCCCUAACUUGUUAGACGAACAUUUGAAAGACUUCAUAGUGAUCCCUGUCGACCUCCCUAGGAAGGGGGUUAAGAUAUUAGCUACCUUAGGCGAAAGGAUAAAUCAUGACUCAUAGGUAAAGAUGUGCAACCUCUGCAGAGGGUUAAAAACUAGUAUACUAGCCGAGCUCACGGUCAGGAGCGGCCUUGGGGACAUCUACAUUAAGGGUGAUGAUUCUUGUGUGUUAAUAUGCUCAUAUUUAUCGUUUAAAGCUUUACAUUAUUUAUGACACAUUGAUCAUGAGAUUGUGGGAUAUAUACAAUCUAGUUGCUAUACUUGUGGAGUUCGACAUGGACUCACUCUUGCUAUUUUCCCCAAACCUCAGGAGAAGUUUAGGCUUGUGAUCAACCAGUCAGUUGGAUCCUGUAGAGUGAAGUUAAUACCCGAAGUUUGGAGUUGUCUAUCCAUUGUUUGUUAUUAAAGGUUAUCUCUUUUUAUAUUAUGUAUGUUAUAUAUUUAUGCAUUGUCUUUUGAUAUUACCCCUUAUUUGUAGCUAUAUGUGAGAUUUGACUUCUAAGACUCACAUAUGGUGCAUAUCUGGUUUUGUCCUUAAAAUCGGGUAUUACAAAGUGGUAUCAAAGCAAUGCUGGCUGUAGGACGCAAGCCUAGUUAGAAAUUGGUCAUCUUAAGGUUUUGAAAUUGCUAUAAAAUCCUUGCUCUAUAAACCUUAAUAUUUUCCUCUAUACUAUACCAUUUUCAUUGCUAUUCAUCUUCACCUUGUUGCUUAUUUUAAAGACUUGUUCUCAUCCCCACCCCUUGCUUGAUAUGCUUUUAGAACUUUUUCUUACCACCUUCUGGCAUCAUUAGAAUAGGUGUCUUAGGAUCUCUACCCUUACUAUGAAGAGAACGAUAGUAUCGCAAGUUGAGUGAAGUGUGAACCUUCAAUGCUUAAUUGGUUGUUAUUAUGCUUAUGUUUGAUUUGGAUCUUUGUAAUGAGUGCAAUGAUCUUGUGUGAUUUCCCCAUAAUAUCAUUUAGUUUAUAGGCCUAAGGCAUAAGGAGUAAUGACAUAAGUAGUUGGGUUUGCUUAUAUCCUGUUUCUAUCCCUUGCUGUUUUCUGGAGCAGUCUACAAUAAUCAUGGUGUAUAUCAAGAUCUGAUCGUGCAAAGUUUACCAAACUUUUCUGGGAACAAUUAGACUUCAAGACCUUUCUCUGAGAGCAAGAAUCACCCUUAAAGCUAUUACCGUUUGGAAGUUACAAAAAUCACAAGACGAUGCAGAUGUGCUGACAAGAACCUGGAUCAGUUUCGGUUGCUUACUAUUUUAGACAUAUAUAACUAUAGAAUUUGGAAAAGUAUUCUAUAGAAACGUUGUAGAAAAUUUUCGAAGCUUUCCAACAAUAUAAUCUGGAACUCAUUUGGAUAAGUAGAACCCGAGAUAUAAUAUUUACAAUUGGAUGUCUCUGUUCUGUUUCCAAAAUCUGGACAGAUCUGGCAUUUCCUAUUUUCAGCCAAGUUAAAGACAGAAUCUGGGAAAGAGUUGUAUACGAAAGAUGUAGAGGAUUUCAUAAGCGUUUCAACAAUAUAAGGGUCAUCUCCAGAUGAGUUAAGUCGCUAGAGAUAUAAUUUCUGGAAUUUACUGCACCUUUGCUGAGACAUUAUCAGGAAGGAUAUUAUGUUUGGUUGUUUUACCUGAGCUUAAAGGCAGAAUCUAAGGAGGUCUUCUACUUGAAAGUUGUGGUGAAUUUCAUAAGUUUUCUAACGAUAUAAGCUAUAACGCUAUUGGAUUAAUGGAGUAAGAGUUAUAUCCGUUUUACUAUGCUGGUGUUUUUCAUUUCACGAGAAAAUUUCAGGAUACCAGUUUGCUCCAUUGCACAUAAGUUCUUUGGGAUGUCAGGUAGUGUCAAUGGUAGUUAAAUUGUCUGGAAAAAGUACAAGCUACCCUUCUUGUGAUCCCUAGUUGACUUUUCUUAAAGGGGGUAGCCCAGUUAAAGGAGUUACAAUGAGAAGGAUUGGCUAGUGUUCGAUCAUAUGUGAGGAUCACAAGCGCUUGGUAAAUUGGUUUUGAUUCAAGAUAUCAUCCCAUUCAGAGAAUAUUAAUGGAGAUAUAUGUCAUUGCUGAUACUCAUGGAUUAAGAGUUAUGUUAUGAGGAUCAGAUGACACCAAAGUUUACGAAGCUAUAAUUGGGAUGCGAGAGUGAAACAACUUAAUUGUGAUAAAGGUACCGAUAAUUGGGACUUAGUGAUGAAACUAACCUUAGAUCAAGAGACUCGGUACAAUGAAUGCAAAAGACUAUGAUGUGUAGCGUACAAAAAGGAUAGGAGAACUAUUCCCUAGUGUGCCCAAAUCAACCUCGUCUUAAGGGGGUAGUACCCUCAUAUCACAGGAUGAUGCAUUUUGAAGUGAUAACUGUCUUUUGAGAUAUCUUAUGAUUAUGAUCAUCUAUCCUUGUCGUGUUAUUGACGUUGGUCACUUGAUGACAGGGAGUGUAGUGUCCCAUGGAUUAGGAGCAUAAUAUGACAUCACUCAUGGAUAUGUGCACACAAGGCAGUGAUCUAUGCUACCCAGUGGAAACUUUUCUUAACCGCACCAUCACGGAAAAGAGUUGAGUAUCAAGGUGGUCCACUCCUACCUAAGGAGGCAUAUCCAUGCUAAGUUACCAUGUCUUCGAGUUGUAUAAGUCAAAAGUUGGUAGUCAAGAUGGACCUUGAACAAUUACGAAUAAUAGACAUUUUAUGAAAGUUUUGUUCACAAGUUGUGAUCCCGAGACAUGAGUGUUUGCUUUUGGAAUAUAGUGGUUAAGUUGAAAUAGUUAUCAAGACCUUUUUCCUGUUUCUCUUUUGGAAUUUGUGCCUUUUCCGAAUCUCGAGGACGAGAUUUAUUUUAAGGGGAUAGAGUUUGUAACACCCAAAAUUUGAUUUUUAAAUAAUAGGAUUUAAUUUGAUUUAUUUGAAUAUUUUGUGAGUAUUUAAAUUAGUAAAGAAAUAAAUUUUAUUGAAAUUAAAAUUCAACAUAGAGAUAGAAACUUGUUUGUGCAUUCAUUAUGAAGCAUAUUUUAUUUUGUGUUGUUUGCUUUUGGUUUGAAUUCUAUUUGAUUCAAAUCCUAUCUAAAAAAUUGGUUUGGAAAAGCUUUUGAAAAAAAUAAUAAAAAGAAAGAAACCACUCCCCUGGAACCAGGCCGAGGCCUGGCUAUCCCUCCCCGCUCUCGGCCCAGUACGGCCCCAGCAGCGCGCCUCCCCCUCUCUCAGUCUCUGGCAACCGGGCCCCACCCUUUCUCCCUCCGACAGCAUGGUCCCACUCGUCAGCGACCCGACCCCCGCCUUCCUUCUUCUUCCCCAAAUCGUGACCAAGCCUGUCUCUGGACCGAACAAAUCCGCCACCGAACGAGUCCGCGAUCUUCCCUGUUCUUCGCGAAAUUUGUUGCCUUAAAUCAACUACCGAGUCCCUAUAAAGGACCUAGACCCCCUCUGCAUCGCCUUUUUGCCCUAGUUUCUAAGCUUGCUGCAUUUGCGAUCUCGCCGUCGAGCUCUACAGAACCGCCGCCGUGGAAACCGCAACUAGCAGCC
rnacentral:lncRNA from 1 species